UGCCGAAAGUGGCAAAUGGCGGGUUGACCGAUAAAAUCUAUGAUAAGAAUAUCCGCAGAUGCCAGAUGGUUAUCCUUUUCGAUAAACGUGGUAAUACCGGUUUGUUCAUGGACACAAAUGCGGUAAUUUAAAUUCCGCGAUACUGCACUGUUGAUGAUUUACCUCACUACACGCAGUACAAAUCACGACGACGGUAACACACGUGUGUGAAUUGCCACAGGCAUUUGUUAUGCGUGGAACAUAGCCAUAAAACAGAGGAGGGAACCGUUUUUCGCAGUACCGAUUAUGUCCCGUUCCAGUUGGAUAGCUGGCUUCGGUGUCGGGAUAAUUUUAUAACUUUCCUCUAUAGAGCAGUAAUACGGCUCACUCUGGCGGUCGUUUAAAGAAUCCGCUUCAAUGCUGUGAAAUGUUAGCUAAACUGGAACGCUGUUAAAGGCUCGGCUGGCAAUAAAAAUACCGGAUUAUACAACGGCUAUAUAUCGCGGUGGAAGCUGCGGCUUUGAUCCGCGGCAGACAUUAGGAUCUGGAUGCAAUGUUAAGGAAAAAGAGCGAAACUACUGUAGGAAAACACUGAUGUAUGUGGUUGCGGUGAAAACCAGUCUGCGAAGUGCGGGGCUAAGGAGGAGUUUAUUUGAAAAACAUAUAUCCACAAGCAUCAACACAGAUAUAUGCGCAAUGUGCGGAAGGCAAUUUCAUGUGACUGUUGGUUAGCACUUUAAACCUUACGUUACACACUUUGUAUACUGUACUCGUAUGCGUCUUUGCCAUUGGGAAACGGCCUCCGUCGGAGAGAAAACAUCAGUGCGCGCGCUGUGCCGCGAUACCGGUUUUACCAAUUGCAAUAUGAUUUGUGCUGCACUGGCGAUUGGGAGCAUUUUGCAAUCCAGCGUAACCGCAAACUAUGUAUUUUGUUUGCAUAUAAGGACGACUCCUCCUUCGGUAAACUUGUACUAGCUGCGAAUAUUUUUAAGAGCGACACGAAUAAGCCGCUGAGGAAACGAAUUGGAAAAGAAUACCUAUCUUAUCUUGUAUGCGCGAUAAAAUGCCAUUUUGAAAAGUGGUUCAGCUACUCGCGAUUGGUAACCUCGGAUGGUAAAUUCAUCUUCAUUACCACGAUUCUCAAAUGCAAGCCAGGGAAUGGUAGGUACGGUCUGCACCGAUUCUUACCGGAAGUUGAUUAACAAUGCAUGGAUGAUAACGGUUCGGAUGCAACAAUCUACAACUACCUAAUUGUCAAAUGUUCCACACAAUCAUUUUGGACGAUUCAAAGGAAUCUCGAUAUAUCAGGAAUCAAGAUAACCCAUCUGUACCGGCAGCGGGCCUAAUGCUGGAAUCAGAUCCUUACAACACAAGCUAACCAGCUUUAGUAGCAGCACGGUACCGUGGCAAUAUUACGCAAUGCGAAUUCUUCCUGGUCAACAUAGACUCGGGGAACAUCAUCGGUCUGGGCGGAUUUCGGAGAGGCUCCUGGUUGAACAGCGCUGACUGCCUGCUAAAAAUUGAAAACAUUUGAAACACCAUCCACGGAAAUACGAAAUUUUUCUUACCAUUCUGGCGAGCAAUGUCUUCGCGCUUUCUUCCGAAGGGCUGCCUUCCCAGUAAUACCGAUCUCUGUCAGCAACAGUCAUUUCUUUUUCCCAUGGUUCCGUUUUCUGCAAUUACAGAAUUAUUAUUGUUAUUAUUAUUAUUGUUCGUUAUUAUUGUUCUUCGCAAUUAGUUUUAUGCAUCGACAAAGCCGACAACCAUACCGGCCUUUCGGAUACGGUAAUAUUUCUAAUACAGCCUUCAACUUACCCAGGAUUCGAAAUAAAGUGCGGUUAGAAGAUGCGGCUGGCGAAGAAUCUUUCGACGUCUUUGGCGAUCAAACUGCCGGGGAUGGCACAAUCAACGAUGAACCUCAUAAGCGCAGAAAUGACAUAAGGCAUUCAAAUAAGUAUGCAUCGCUUUUUGACUAUGACUACUGAUGAGGAUACCCCGUUCGCGUCCGUAAUAAUUAAUAUUGGUUAAUAACUUAAUGGUUAUUGGUUGCCGACGACCAGGGGCGGCUGGAGCUUCCCGGUUUGGGGUGGGCCAGCACUAUUGGCUUUGGGGUGGGCCAGGCCCAUAGACCACUAUGUUAAAAAAAUUUUUUUGGAGGGGGCCAUGGCCCCCUGGCCGAGGGGUUCCAGCCGCCUAUGCCGACGACGAUCGAGAAUCCGAAAAUACAAGGAAA